rnacentral:pre_miRNA from 1 species
ACGUUACCAACAGUCGGUUUUCCCAUUGAUCUGAGAGCUAACUGUACGCUAUCUGAGAUCAUCGUGAAAGCUAGUUGUCGGUUUACG